rnacentral:rRNA from 1 species
AGAGUUUGAUCCUGGCUAGGACGAACGCUGGCGGCGUGCUUAACACAUGCAAGUCGAACGGGCUUAAAGAGGAGCUUGCUUUCUUAAGUUAGUGGCGGACGGGUGAGUAACGCGUGAGCAACUUGCCUUGGACAGUGGAAUAACACAGGGAAACUUGUGCUAAUACCGCAUGAAGUGCGAGGGGGCAUCCCUUCUGUACCAAAGGAAGCAAUUCCGGUCUGAGAUGGGGCUCGCGUCCGAUUAGAUAGUUGGUGAGGUAACGGCCCACCAAGUCGACGAUCGGUAGCCGGACUGAGAGGUUGGCCGGCCACAUUGGGACUGAGACACGGCCCAGACUCCUACGGGAGGCAGCAGUGGGGAAUAUUAGGCAAUGGGGGGCAACCCUGACCUAGCAACGCCGCGUGGAAGGAUGAAGGUUUUCGGAUUGUAAACUUCUUUGGCAGGGGACGAUAAUGACGGUACCCUGAGAACAAGCCACGGCUAACUACGUGCCAGCCGCCGC